UAAAUGUCAGUGUGGUACUUUAGACUUGGCAGGUUACUUGGGUAGCUGUUUUCUUUGGAUGGUAUCAAUGGAUUGGCCCAAGUCACUGUGGUGGUGCUAUCCUUCAGCUAGAGCGUCUUUGUUUUGCAGGUUUGUCCCCAGUGUAAGAAAGUCUAGUAUCCGAUGUGCAUGAGUUAAGAGAAUCUUCAGACUUUUCAUGUAUCUAUUCUAGGUUUUUGUGAUUUGGCAAAUGCCGCUGUGAAACUUCAGCCUUGGCAUGUUACUUGGGAUCCUGUUUUCUUUGGUACAUAUCAAUGGAUGAACCAAUUCACUAUGGCGUGAUCUUCAACUACGGCAUCUUUUUUUUUUUUUGUUGGUUGAGUGUAAAUAUUCUAGCAGCAGAUGCAUGUUACCUUGGAGUGCUGGAGCCUGUGAUCAGUAUGCGAUUAGAGGAAUAGAGAAUUUUUAUUUUUACAGGUUAUCUUGGCUUGGAAAACUACUGGCAUCUCUGGUACUCCAGCCUUGGCAGGUUACUUGGGAUCCUACUUUUGGUAGGUGUGAGUGGAUGUACAAUUUCACUACAGUGUUGUAAUUCUCAAGUCAGGGCAUGUUUAUUUUUUGGCUUUGGUGUAUGUAGUCUAGCAGCAGAUGAAAGUAGCCUUGAACUGCUGGAACCUGUAACUGGUAUGUGAGUAGAGAAAUAGAUGAGAAUGGAAAAAAAAUAUUCAGCAUCUUCAUUUAUUUAUUUUAACAGGUUUCUAAAAUUUUACAAAUCUCAACGUGAUACUUCAGCCUUUUUACUUAAGACCCCAAUGUAGAUAUUGGACUGCUGGGGCCUGUGAUUGGUGUGUAAGUAAAGGGAUUGAUGUGCAUUAAAUUAGAUUCUUCAGCCAUUUCAGGUAUCUUAUAGGUUUUUGCAGUUUGGCAAAUAUUGCUGUGAUCAGCCUUGUCAUCAUACAUGGGAUCCUAUUUCCAGUGAUAGGUAGGAGUAGAUGGAGGAAUUUAUCUUGGUGUUCGUUCUUCAGCAAGAGCAUCUUCGUUUUUACAGGUUGUGUCUGAAGUCUAUCAGCAGAUGCAAGUAACCUUGGACAGCUGGAGCUUAUGAUUGAUAUGUGAGUAGAGGGAUAUAUGUGCAGAAAUACAAAUCUUCAGACUGGUGUCGAUUUUGUUUUUACAGGCUUUUGGUUUGAAUAACUUCCUGGUCCUGUAGUACUUCAGCCUUGGCAUUUUACUUGAGAUCCUAUUUCUUUUGAUGAUGGGGUAAUUUUGGUCUUGUAAUUCUUUAGACAGGGCAUCUUUGUUUUUUACAGGUUUUCUCUGUUUGGCAAAUGUGGCUGUCAUACUUUCAGCUUUGGCAGGAUACUUGGGACCCUUAUUGAUUUGGAAGGUAUCAGUGGGUGAACCAAUUCACUAUAGUGGUUUUCUUCUUUGUCCUAGGCAUCUCUCGUUUGCAGGUUGGUUGAGUGUAGAAAGUCUACUAGCAGAUUCAGUUCAUCUUUAAAUGCUGGUGCCUGUGAUCAGUAUUUGAGUAGAGGAAUAGAGUUGCAGGAAUUAAGAGAUUCUUCAGCCUUUUCAUUUAUCUAUUUUUACAGGUUUUUAAAAUUUGGCAAAUGUCACUUUGAUCCUUCAGACUUGGCAUCUUACAUGGGAUACUAUUUCCUUUGGUAUGUACAGUAUGCGUGAAUGGAAUCCUUUAUUUUGGUGUAGUCAUUCUUCAGCCAGGGGUAUAUUUGCUUUUACAGGUUGGGUUUUGGUUUAGGAAGUCUAGAAGCAGAUGCAGGUAACAACAUUGAACUGCUGGAGCCUGUGACCCAUAUGUGAAUAAAGGAAUUGAUGUGCAUGCACAAGGAGAGUGAUAGAUCAGCCUUUUCAUUGAUUUAUUUUUACAGGUCAUCCUCCUGCCUCUGGGAAACGUCUGACCACUGCUACUUUGGCCUUGGCAGGUUACUUUGGAUCCUAUUUCCUUUGGUAGGUAUGAGCAUAUGGAGUGAUUUAUUUUGGCGUUGUCAUUCUUCAGCCAGGUCCUCUUUGUUUUUACAGGUUGUGCUUUAGUGUAGGACGUCUAGCUGCAGAUGCAGGAAUCAUUCAACUUCUGGAGCUUUUGAUCGGUAUGUGAGUAGAGGAAUAUGUGAAUGGACAAAGUCUAGCAGCACAUGCAUGUAAUCUUGGACUGCUGGAGCUUGUAACUGGUAUGUAUGUAAAUAGGAGCAGAUGAGAUUUUGACAAGAUUGUUGUUGAGAUGUUUGCAAUAUGUCAUUACAGGUUAUCUUUGGAAAACUACUGGCAUCUGUGCUACUUCAGCUUUGGCAGGUUACUUGGGAUCCUACUUUCAGUAAGUAUGAAUGGAUUUACAAAAUCACUUUUGUGUUGCCAUUCUGCAUCUAGGACAUCUUUGCUUUUUACAGGUUGGGCUUUGGUGUAGGAAGUCUAGCAGCAGAUACAUGUAACUUUGGAGAACUGAAGCUUAUGAUCGAUAUGUGCACAGAUAAAAGAUUCUUCAGACCAGUAUAAAUUUUUAUUUUGUGGGAAACUUCCUGCUCCUGUGGUUUCCCUGGUUUGACUUCAACUUUGGUAACUUACUUUGGGUCCUUUUUAAUUUGGUAGGCAUCAAUGGAGAGCCCUAUUCACUAUGCUGGUGAUCAUCUUCAGCCCAGGUUUUCCUGAUUUUGCAAAUGUCCCUGUGGUACAUCAGACAUGGCAGGUUAAUUUGGAUGCUGUUUUCUGACCGGUAUGAGUCAAUGGACAAAUUCAUGAUGUUGUUGUUCAGGCCCAGUAUUUUUGUAUUACAGAUUGAAUCUCAAUUUUGUUACAUUAGUGGGGGGUGCUGAUGCUUUUGAUGCAGUGUAAGAGAAGAGAGAGAUUUCUGUGCACACAAGUGUGUGCUUCUUAAGCCAUUACUUCCUUGAGUUCUUUUGAAUAUUCAGUCUGGGGUUCUUGUUUUGUAGUUUUGGACUUUUGCUUGGGAAAACCAUACAGGAAACUUGUGCCUUGUAAGUGGGGGUUUGUGCUUAUUUAUGCUUAGCUUACUCUUGACUGAGUGUGCAAUUUUAAGUAAACAAGCCUGCUGAACUCAACUGCAAGUAAUAGUUUAACAAAGCAGGACCUUCAGCCUUGAAUAAGAAUACUGAUGUUUGAUAUAGAGGUUUUGGGUGAAGGGGAGGGUUUUAGUGUGUACUGCUUUAGUCUCCCUGUUUUUCACCUUGAUGGCUGAUUUGCCAAUUAUCCUUCUAAGGAGCUCCUAGGAAUACCUGUUUUUGGAAUUCCUGUGCAGCUUGCAAGUACGAAUGGGUUUGUAUCAAUAUGAUGCUACGUUUUGGGUUUACCCUGGUUUGGGAAAGCUUUAGUCAUGGACUAGUCUUAGCCUUGAAAGGUCUGUGCAAUUGCUGGUUCUCUUGAGGCAUUUUUACACGAUGGAGGAUUCUGCUGCUUCUGUUAGGUGUGAGAGGGAUUGAUUGCUUUUCACAUGCCCAAGUGUGCAUGAGCCUAGGCUUCUUUGUCUUACUGGGUGCCUAGAUGUACAAGUGUGAUACCUUACCUAUGCAUUUUUGUUUUACAGGUCGGUAGCCUUAAAAAUUGAAAGGUGAAUGGGGUUGCUGGUUGUUGUGGUAUGGGUGGAGGGGAUUAGAUUAAUUUUUUUGUCCAUGAAUAUGCUGCCUAGGUUCAUCGAUAAGGGGUUUAACUUUGGUGAAGUGAAAAGGUUUAGGUGCCUUAUUUUUAAAAUGUGGGUUGGAUUAUAGGUGCUUGUGGUCAAGGUUUUGCAAAAUCCCUUGAAAAGGAUUAGAUUGAUUUUUGUGUGCAUGUAUGCUGCUUCAGCUUUGGUGCCUUUUUGGUUUUACUGUCAUCACAUCUCCAUAGACAAAAUAACACUUCAACCACUAAUUCCAGUUUUAUUUAAAAAGCCUAAGCCACUUAUCCAUACUUUGGGAUUGAGUAUAAUUAGGACUCCUGCAUUUGCCAAGUGUGAAAUAUCAAAGUAAUCAAAUGUAUAUAGUCAGAUAAGGCUCUUCAAUUUUUAGUGAGUGGAGUUGCUAGUACUUUCUGGUUGGGUCGUUAAGCUUGAGAGUGCCACAGCUGGCUGUUUUUUCCUGUUGUGUUCUACUAUGGGAAAAAUCCUUCUGAAGUGGAGCCUCAUCCUUGACAGGUUAAUGGGCAUGCUUUCACCAUCGGUACACUUGUAGUUUCAAGAAUUAAUUGUGGUUUUUCUGGGAGUGUUCUGCUGUAGCCUUCCUUAACAUUCAAACUGUAUUUGGGUUACAUGUUUGCAAACUGGUGUAGGAGAUGUCUAGCCAGAGGUUUUCAGCUAUGGCUUCUCCUUCCUUUAUACCUAACUUUACUUUUCAGGUUCUCUAAUCUUUAUCUUCCUAUUUAUUUUAAAACUGUUCCCUGGUUCUGAGAGCAAGAAACCCUUGUGUGGUAAUGUAAUAAAAGACACCAAGUUUGCCUAGGAGCAAUAACCCAUAACCAACCAGCAGGUACAAUUUACUAUUCACCUCUUUAAACACAAAAAUCUUAUUUGUUGCUGUGGGUUACUGCUCCUGGACAAACUUAGUGCCUUUUAUUGCAUA